CCGUAAAAAGUUGCAGGAGUAAUAACAGCCUUUAGUCUCUUUUGCUAUUUUUUGAAUUAAAUCGUUGGUUUUCAUAAAACAGUUGUUCAAUGAUGCAAAUUUCUAUUGGGAAAAAAACAUCCAGUAAAAAUUUCCAAGCUCUCAUUUACCAAACUUUUAAAAAAUUUGCUUGCUUUCACGCACUCUACCGCUCUCUUUUGCUGGCAAAUAAAGUACGCGAACGACUUCCAGUAACAAUUUGUGCAAAUUUGCACACGAACACACUUAUUGUAACCCCAUACAUUUGUAUGUGAAGUUAGCGAUCCUCGUCGUUCCGACCUAUAGGAACGGCUGCUGCGUUGGUGUUGUAGCCACAUUCGCUGAAUCUGGCUGCUUCAGUUGAAGCGGUCUAUAGUAAUUCUGCAGUCAGAUGAGUUUUCACCGGGCAUAUAAAUAGGUGAUUGGUGUCAUGGGGUCCCGUGUUGCAUGCAGGGCAAAUAUAGGUGAUGGUUCGUCUAACAUCGAGCGAAGGCAUAUCCGUUUGCUACAACAUCCGUAAGUGGAUCGGUGAUGUGCUGUCAGAUGGCGUCUGAAAAUUGGUGAACACAUAACUAAAAAGCCCUCAAACAUGUCAAGAUAUCUGUACUGAAUAAAACGGCUAGCUAAUGUGAAGAACAACAAGAUUUAUAGGAAAUAUGGUGUCUGUUUUAACUAUUUGACGACUACAACAUCUCCAGAGCCCGAACCUGGAACACCGGCCUCCAAGAGAAUUGAUUUUACAUCAUCCACGGUGAUAAUCUUUCCCUCACAUAUUUGUUCAAUGAAAUCCAUAAAUUCUUCAUAAUUCAAUCUCCAUUUUCUGCAAAUGAGAUAACGAAAAUUUUGUUUGGGAAUUCUUACACAAAAAUAUAGGUGCAGGAUUUUACCUAAAUUUCAUGUAAACCAAACCCGUUUCGGUCAUCGAGAAGACAGUUUUCAAAAGUUUGGCCUGCUCUAGCCAAUAGUCAAUCUGAGACAGUAAAAUACAAUCAUAGUCUACAUUAUCCAAGUCUAAACGCACGACAACGUUAUUGGCAUAAAGAUGAAACAGUGACUCCAAAGUAUGUUUCUUUGGUUUAUCAUUAUCAUCAUCAGCCAUUGCAAAUUUUGAAUUUUGAGUAACAAAUGAUAAGAUAAAAGAAUAGGUACUAAAAUUUAAAACAAAUGUCAUGUCAUAAAUAUUUAUGGAAGGCAUCCUGCUAAGGGGUUGGCAGGGCGCCUUCCGGGACCUUAAAAAACGCUUAGGCUUGAUUGUGUAUAGCAACACGUACACUAAGGCAAGGAUUGAUGCCGACGUGCAAGAUGUAUUUCCGAUUGUAACCUGAGACCUCGACACGCGUCACCUGUUUAACUGCACAGCCAGACCCACUCGACUCAGGCCCAGAUCCCUGUGGACGCACCCCAGAUCCUGAGUCUUGACACUCAACAGAUUCAUGCAGAUGAAAGAUAGAACACAACAAACUGCUCCAACAACAUCAAUAGCAACUAACGUUCAGUAGAGUUGUCGUCUGAAAAGAAAACCAAAAGCAAAAAUUUGUAUAACUUGAUGCCGAUAAUAGUGUUUUGUCCUUCCAGCAGCGAGAAAAAGUGUAAACAAAUAGAAAUCAACGAAAAAAAGUCUAAAAGGUGUGAAAUAUCAUGAAUAAAAAUCGUAGUAUUUAUUGAAAGCACAUUUUAA